rnacentral:rRNA from 1 species
CACGUAGUUAGCCGUGGCUUUCUAAUAAGGUACCGUCAAGGUACAGCCAGUUACUACUGUACUUGUUCUUCCCUUACAACAGAGUUUUACGAACCGAAAUCCUUCUUCACUCACGCGGCGUUGCUCCAUCAGGCUUUCGCCCAUUGUGGAAGAUUCCCUACUGCUGCCUCCCGUAGGAGUCUGGGCCGUGUCUCAGUCCCAGUGUGGCCGAUCACCCUCUCAGGUCGGCUACGCAUCGUCGCCUUGGUGAGCCGUUACCUCACCAACUAGCUAAUGCGCCGCGGGCCCAUCCUAUAGCGACAGCCGAAACCGUCUUUCAGUGUUUCACCAUGAGGUGAAACAGAUUAUUCGGUAUUAGCCCCGGUUUCCCGGAGUUAUCCCAAACUAUAAGGUAGGUUGCCCACGUGUUACUCACCCGUCCGCCGCUAACGUCGAAGGAGCAAGCUCCUUCUCUGUUCGCUCGACUUGCAUGUAUUAGGCACGCUGCCAGCGUUGUCCUGAGCCAGGAUCAAACUCU